GAUACUGUGGAAAGAUUUCACUACGGGCUGAAUUGUCCCACCCCAAUUCAUAUGUUGAAGCCCCAGUCUUAGCAGACAGGGCCUAUAAGGAGGUAAUUAAAGAUAAUGAGAUCAUAAGGGUGGGGCCCUGAUAUGAUAGGAGUAGGGUCCUUAUGAGAGACAUUAGAGAACUUACUCUCUAUCACCUCCCUUCUUCCAAAGCCAUGUGAGGACACAGUGAAAGAUAACCCUCUGCAAGCCAGGAAGAGAGACUUUACCAGGAGCCAAAUCAGCCAGUACCUUGAUCUAGGACUUCCCACCCUCCAGAACUGGUAGAAAAUUAAUUUCUGUGGUUUAAGCCGCCCAGUCUGUGGUAUUUCGUAUGGCAGCCCGAGCUAAUACAGAUUCCUAUAAAGCCUAGAUGACAGUCCCCAUGCCGUUGCCAUGCCCAAGACUGUUUUUGCCUUGGACUGCUUUCUAAGGAACACUACAAAACCCUCAAGUUCCUUAAAUUCUUACGACUACCUGAAACCAGGAGCUCUGACUCUAUACUAUUUCCUUUUCCCCCUAGAAGCCUCCCCAGGAGAGCAGACAGCAGCCAGAGAUCACUUUCCUUGUCGCUGUUCCUUACUAAAAAAAAAAGAGGAAGUGUACUGUGCUUCAGAAGCUUUGACACGAUAGGCUUUGACCCACUGCUUUGGCCACACAGAUCCUUCCUUCCGCAUUCCUUGGCUACGAGAGAAAGAGAAGCUAAUGAGGUGGAGUGAACUCUGCCACCACCUGUAAAUCCAGAGGUCUGGAUCUAGAAAAUUCCCUUCAGCAUAUCAGAAGCACAUGUUUUUGAUUGAGAGGUAAAUGAUAGGGUCCCACUGGGGUGUGACAGGGCAGUACAGGUGGGUGCUGUGCAUGUAGUGGAUUGUGUCACACCGAGGAACACUGAACUUGAGGACUCCACUGCUUUUAUAAUGAGGGGUAAGUGUGCCUUCUCUUUGUCUGGCGGG